rnacentral:rRNA from 1 species
ACGGAGUGCUUCGGCACUUAGUGGCGGACGGGUGAGUAACGCGUGAGAAUCUGCCAAAAGGACUGGGACAACAGCUGGAAACGGCUGCUAAUACCGGAUAUGCCAGAAAGUGAAAUGGGUAAAACCGCCUUUUGAUGAGCUCGCGUCCGAUUAGCUAGUUGGUGGGGUAAAAGCCUACCAAGGCGACGAUCGGUAACUGGUCUGAGAGGAUGACCAGUCACACUGGGACUGAGACACGGCCCAGACUCCUACGGGAGGCAGCAGUGGGGAAUUUUCCGCAAUGGGCGAAAGCCUGACGGAGCAAUACCGCGUGAGGGAGGAAGGCUCUUGGGUUGUAAACCUCUUUUCUCAGGGAAGAACACAAUGACGGUACCUGAGGAAUCAGCAUCGGCUAACUCCGUGCCAGCAGCCGCGGUAAUACGGAGGAUGCAAGCGUUAUCCGGAAUGAUUGGGCGUAAAGCGUCCGCAGGUGGCUUUGCAAGUCUGCUGUCAAAGCUCAGGGCUUAACCCUGAAUCGGCGGUGGAAACUGAAAGGCUAGAGUGUGGUAGGGGCAGAGGGAAUUCCCAGUGUAGCGGUGAAAUGCGUAGAGAUUGGGAAGAACACCAGUGGCGAAAGCGCUCUGCUAGACCGCAACUGACACUCAUGGACGAAAGCUAGGGGAGCGAAUGGGAUUAGAUACCCCAGUAGUCCUAGCCGUAAACGAUGGAUACUA